rnacentral:rRNA from 1 species
UACAGAGGGUGCGAGCGUGUCCGGAAUCACUGGGCGUAAAGGGCGCGUAGGCGGCCCGGUAAGGUUGCGGUGAAAGCCCGGGGCUCAACCCCGGGUCGGCCGUGGCAACUGCUGGGCUGGAGCACAGUAGAGGCGGGUGGAAUUCCGGGUGUAGCGGUGGAAUGCGUAGAGAUCCGGAAGAACACCGGUGGCGAAGGCGGCCCGCUG